rnacentral:lncRNA from 1 species
UACGGCCUGUCUUUUCCUGAGUGGUUUUCUGCACUUCUCUUCCAUCUUUUCCCUUCUGUCCCACUCUGGAAGUCACUAGUCUGUGCCUUCCUUACCUCCCAUGAUUUCUGCACCUUCAUUUCCAAAGGCAAGUGAAAACAGUGCCAGGCUGUGCACAUGGGUAACUCCAGGGACUUCUCCUCCUCCCAUUUCCCCUAAAGCAUUUGACAGGCAGACCUUGGAACUGAGUCCAGCAGCACUAGGUCAGAGUGAUGGCUAAAGCUAAAGGCAAACUGGAUUCUGUUCAGGAGGUUCUCCUUUGUCAUUUUUAUCUCCAAAUAGAAGACCUCUGUCUUCCCAGAAGAUUAAAUAAUAGAAAAGAAUAAUAGCCCAAGCCCUGGACAACUUUCAGGAAGACAGUUCUGAUCUGUAGCAAUUAACACAUGGUCAUCCUCAGAAAAAGGAGAUACCCAUAGCUUAAAAUACAGGAACCAAGAACUUUGAGCCUAGACAUUUGGAUGAAAAGUGAUUUCCACCUGGAGAAAAUCAUUGUCCUUCUGUGCAGAAGUAGGUGCCCUGAUACUUGCCUGACAGCUGGAAAGGGUGGCUCAGAAGAGCCCGAAGUUGUUCCAGGGACAGCAGCAACCUCAGGAGGAGGCCAGAGAUUGGCCAAUGGAAAGGCAGAAAGCAGAGACUCUCCACCCAGGUGGAGGCACCAGAGGGCCCAUGGAGGGAAUGGACAGCUGGCGUUAUGGUCCCCCUACGUUUUCCCAAGACUCUUCCAGCUGCCUAAUGGCCAACUGAGGCUGCUCCUUGACCUUGAGUACAAAUGGCCCUCAUAUCCAAACAGCCACCUGACCAGAGCCAACCGACAACCUCCUGUGAGCUUCUCAGCCCCAGGCUGGCUCUGCAGGGAACAUGAAGGAGAACCCAUCUCUGCUGCUUUUGAAGUGCAGUGGCUUUCACUUGGAAUGGAAAUCUUUACAGGUGGCACCAGGGGCUGUGCAGAGACGACCAGGGAGAAAUUCUGGACUUCUCAUGUUCUGCCUCUGAGACAGACUGUGGUGGGAAACACAAACAAUACAAAUCCUUGGUUCCAUUUUCCUCAUCCCUUCCUGGCAAAUGGAAUCAAAUGA